GCGGCGUCCGGCGGGUGGCUGGGUGGGUGCACGGGGUGGCGGGCGGGCGCGAGCCGGGGCCUCCGCGCUGAACGGUUGGACGCUAGGGGGCCUGCGAGCUUCCAGCCUCCCGAUCCCGGGAGAAAAAUGACCGGCCGUCCUGGGCCGCGGAGCCGGGGAGCGUCUGGAGGUGACGAAGUUGAGGGAUCCGCCGAAGUCUUUCUCGACUCGACUUCACGCGGCGAUCACCCCGCGGACGGGGUUGAUUCGGAGCCACCACGUUUGUUUCCGAGGGGUCGUUCGAGAUGAAGGCUUCCAAAUGAGACCUACUUGCGAGGCUUCCCGUCGCCGGUACGCUGCACCGUGACAGGGACCCACCACGUUAAGUGCUCACACCACCAGCGACAUAAAUAGGUUUCAAACCGGUGAAUGUUAGACAGAUUCACCCUCUUCCUUUCUCUAGCCCCCUUGGUCUCCCCUAUAAUGCAGAUACGGUAUUUGUCCAGCCACACUCUCCUGUCAAGAAUUCUAGGCAAGCCCUCUGAUACCUUUUAGAGUCCACAGUUUAAAAGCAACAUUUCCUUACGUGCUCUCC
rnacentral:lncRNA from 1 species